rnacentral:rRNA from 1 species
GAUGAACGCUGGCGGCGUGCCUAACACAUGCAAGUCGAACGGAGUCCAGCCUUUAAGACCUUCGGGUCAAAGAGGGGAAGACUGAGUGGCGGACGGGUGGGUAACACGUGGGCAACCUGGCUCAUAGAGGGGGAUAACAGAGAGAAAUUUCUGCUAAUACCGCAUAAGCACACACUGCCGCAUGGCAGAGGGUGAAAAGAGAAUCGCUAUGAGAUGGACCCGCGUCUGAUUAGCCAGUUGGCAGGGUAAGAGCCUACCAAAGCGACGAUCAGUAGCCGAUCUGAGAGGAUGAACGGCCACAUUGGGACUGAGACACGGCCCAAACUCCUACGGGAGGCAGCAGUGGGGGAUAUUGCACAAUGGGGGGAACCCUGAUGCAGCGACGCCGCGUGAGAGAAGAAGUAUUUCGGUAUGUAAAGCUCUAUCAGCAGGGAAGAUAAUGACAGUACCUGAAUAAGAAGCCCCGGCUAACUACGUG